rnacentral:lncRNA from 1 species
CUCCCCGCCCGUUUUCCGCGGCUACAGGUGACGUCAGCGCCCUGCGGCCCACCCUCUUCCGCCGGCGUAACACAUGCGUGGUAAGAGAGGGAGUUUGUCUCUUGGCCAAAUUUUCUCCUUCCUACCUGUGUGAUUGCAAGCACAAUCUGAAGACAGCUGUGGAUUGGAAGAGGAUCUUGCAUCAAUUGCCAGGGCUGGGAAUAUGAGUGGCUGCCUGAGAGGGUGCAUGUCCUGGAAAUAAGGAGCUCAGUGUAACAGUGUGAAAGUUGUGAAGUGCCGAAAGCCUAGAUCUUGCUUGAUUAAUGUAGCCUUUGAGAUUCUCAGCUUCUUGGCAGUGUGUCCCUAAAGAUUCUCUUUCUUCUCCAAGAUACAGAGGAGUAAACAGGGGAAGGGAGGAGAGUCCUGCUAAUACUGUUGAAGUGCAAGUAGGAGGCUGUGGAACAGCGGGAACAUCUGGUUUUCAAGUUUCAGUAACUGAAGUAACACAUUCUCAAGAAGUCAAGCUCCAAGGGGCUGCUGGGUGUAAAUAUAUCCUGAAGAUUAGUAUUUAUAAUGUUGAGAUUUGGGCAGCAUCUCAUCAAGCCCUCUGUGGUCUUCCUGAAGACGGAGCUCUCCUUUGCUCUUGUGAACCGGAAGCCAGUCGUCCCAGGGCGUAUCCUUUCAACCAGAGCCUCAAUCAUGAGCGCGUAUGGGCCGUUCAGCGUUCUGUGGAAAAGUGGGAGAUACUCUGCACGUUCUGAAGGCCAGUAAGAUUGCAUACACUCUUUGAAAAUGCCCAUAGGAUAAGCUUGAAGCACGGUAUACCUGCAGCCAUUUCAGAUCACUUCAGGGAACUGUUCUACAAGACUUCUGGAAGAAGAACCCUAGUCCCUUCUGUGGAAUGAG